UUAUAGAUACUUAUUGUUAUAAGAAUAAUGUUAAAAUAGAACCAAAUUUAUAUUCUAAUGAUCAUUAUUUAAAAUAUAAUGACUUGGAAAAGUUACAUAAGUACACGAAAAUAAUGUGUCAAGAAGAUAAUUGUAAAAAUAUAUUGAAAUAUGGUUAUAUUUACUGUUGUUAUAAGUUAAGAAAAGUAAAAAAAAUCAAUUUAGUGUUAAUGUUGUUAGAUAAAGAUUUUAUAAAAUAUAGUUGUUAUAAUUCCGUGUAUGAUACUUAUGAAAAAAAAGACAUAAAAGUGUAUAACAAUAGUUUUUAUGAUAUAAAAAAUAUACCUGGCUACAGUGCAGGGUAUUAUUUAUUAGGUAAAAUAUAUGAAAAGGAAGCAAAAAAUGAAUGGUUAAAUGAUACUAAAAAAAAAAAACUUAUAGAUAUUUCUUUUUAUUGUUAUUAUUUAUGCUUUAAAUCAUGUCCAUUUUAUAUAUGUUCAUUAAAAAAGUUAUUAGCGUUACAUGGUAUAUUUUAUUACAAUACUAUGUAUAUGGAUGAAAUUAAAAAAAUUACUAAGUUAUAUAAUUUUACAAUAGAUAUUUAUAAAAAGUGGAAAUGUGAGAUUAUAAAAAAUGAAGAAACUGAAGAUGAAUCUGGAUCAGAAUUCGCAUCAGAGUCCGAUUCAGAUGAAUAUAAAGAAGAAUUACAACAACAUGAAAUGUUAAAAAAAAAAAGAAACACGGAUUUUGAUAAUAACAUUUUAGAGUUAGUAGAUUUAAUGUAUAUAAAAAAUAAUAUAUAUAUAGGAAAUAUAGAGUUUAUAUUGUCAUUAAUAAAUGUAGAUGUAAUAAAUAGUUUUUUUUUAGAUUGGAUAUAUAAUUUUAAAAUUGAUGUUAGCAAGUGUAUGGAUAUUGAAAACAAAAGAACUUGUAUGACAAAAAUUGGUUUACAUGAUUUAGUUACAAUGAGUAAAAUAUAUUACUACUUUUAUUUAAAUAAUUUUAACAAAUGCUUAUUAUUGAUAGAAAAAUAUGAAAAUGAACCUAUUUUUAGUGUAUGUUUUUUUUAUCUUAAAGGGUUAUGUUAUUUUUUACUUCGUAAUUAUAAGAAGGCAAUCUUUUAUUUUGAAAAGAUUAAUGACAUUGAUUGUUAUUAUA
rnacentral:lncRNA from 1 species